UAUCUGAAAUGCUCCUCUGCUCUUCCCUUCAGACAAAACUGCUGAGAUCAGUGACAACAGUGUUCACCAAGACGAUCUACCAGAGAAAGAAGCCAUCGGCAGCCACUGUCCUCCCUCAAUCCUUUCUUUCAGCUCCCUUGUGCCCCUCGGAGAAAGACAGUGUGAUGCUCAAGACGAAGAAGUUGGUUUAACGACUCAUCAUCAUCAUCCGAUCGAUGCCAUUCGCUGCGCUGCUGCUGCUGCUUCCCAGUGCUACUUCAGGAACUGAAGAUUGUGUUACCGAGCUAUGACCAGAACACAUGCUUGUUCUUUGUUUGACGGAAGACCAUGUUCAAUAAAUCAUGAUAAAAAUGAUAAAUGA